UGUAUAGGACACUACACCAGGACUCUGGUUAAAGGGACCUGGUGAUGGUCUGCAACAGAUGGAUGACAAGAUUGAAUCCCAGUCCCAAGUGGAGACAAAAG